rnacentral:rRNA from 1 species
UGAAUACGAGAUGCUACGGCGUCGAAGCAGUCUAUGUCAUACUUCCAAGAAAAGCUUGCACUGUCAUAAACAAAUAAUGCCUGUACCAUAACCGACACAGGUGGGUAGGUAGAGUAUACUAAGGGGCGCGAGAUAGCUCUCUCUAAGGAACUCGGCAAAAUGACUCCGUAACUUCGGGAGAAGGAGUGCCUUAUUUAUAAGGUUGCAAUAACAAGACCCAAGCAACUGUUUAUCAAAAACACAGGUCUCCGCUAAGUCGUAAGACGAUGUAUGGGGGCUGACGCCUGCCCAGUGCCAGAAGGUUAAAGAAGUUGGUUAGCAUUAGCGAAGCUGAUGACUGAAGCCCUGGUGAACGGCGGCCGUAACAAUAACGGUCCUAAGGUAGCGAAAUUCCUUGUCGGGUAAGUUCCGACCCGCACGUAAGGCGUAAUGAUUUGGGUACUGUCUCAGAGAGGGACUCGGUGAAAUAGACUUGUCUGUGAAGAUGCGGACUACCUGCACCUGGACAGAAAGACCCUAUGAAGCUUUACUGUAACCUGAAAUUGAAAUUGGACUUUAUUUGCGCAGUAUAGGUGGGAGGCUUUGAAGAUAUUCUUGCGGGAAUGUUGGAGCCAUCAGUGAGAUACCACUCUUGUAAUGUUAGAUUUCUAACUUUGUAUCAUUAUCUGGUCAAAGAACAGUUUCAGGCGGGCAGUUUGACUGGGGCGGUCGCCUCCUAAACGGUAACGGAGGCGCACAAAGGUUUCCUCUGAACGGGUAGAAAUCGUAUCUAGAGUGUAAAGGCAUAAGGAAGCUUGACUGUGAGACCUACAAGUCGAGCAGGGACGAAAGUCGGUCUUAGUGAUCUGACGGUGCUGAGUGGAAAGGCCGUCACUCAACGGAUAAAAGUUACUCUAGGAUAACAGGCUGAUCUCCCCCAAGAGUUCACAUCGACGGGGAGGUUUGGCACCUCGAUGUCGGCUCAUCGCAUCCUGGGGCGGUAGUACGUCCCAAGGGUUGGGCUGUUCGCCCAUGAAAGCGGUACGCGAGCUGGGUUCAGAACGUCGUGAGACAGUUCGGUCCAUAUCCGGUGUAGGCGUUAGAAUAUUGAGAGGAGCCUUCUCUAGUACGAGAGGACCGAGAAGGACACACCUCUGGUGUACCAGUUAUCGUGCCAACGGUAAACGCUGGGUAGCUAUGUGUGGAGCGGAUAACCGCUGAAAGCAUCUAAGUGGGAAGCCCACCUCAAGAUGAGUGCUCUCACAGGGUUAACCUGGUAAGGUCACGGGAAGACCACCCGUUAAUAGGCACUAGGUGGAAGUCCAGUAAUGGAU